CCAAAUCCCCGAGCCGCCUCCAAUCCCCGAGCCGCCUCCUUCUCCCCUUGUUUGACCGUGUGUGGCGACGACGACGGCGCAUGCGGGAGGAGGAGGGAGGCGGAGCUGCGCCGGCCUCCGUAGGUGAAGAAGAGGAGGCUGGGGCGCAGCGUGGAGGUGGCGGCCGUCCCGGCUCUGGAUGCGACGUGGCGGCGCGCCCGUCGCGGAGGCGGCCGGCAGCGCGGGCCCGGGAGCAGCCGCGGGCGCCGCCGCUGGCGCCCGCCGGUCGCGGGCGUCGAGCACACGGAGUCGUGGGGCUGCGCGCCGCCGGGAGCUCGUCGUCCUCUCCUCCACCCCGAGCGACGGCGAUGGCUGGACGCGGCGGCGACGGAGGCUUGCCGGAUGGCCGGACGCGGCUGUACCCGGCAGAGCGGCGGCUGUACACGGCGGUGACGGAGGCUCGCUGGACAGCCAGAUGCGACGGCGCAACGGCUGGAUACGGCGGGUGCGGAUGCUCGCCGGAUGGUGGAUGGCCGGACGGCCGGCGUGCCUAGGAGGCGCGAGUCAGGCGGCAGCGGGUUCAGAUCAGAACCAUUAACGAGACAUCCAGGGAAGGCAGAGAAACGAUUCUUUCAUUGUGCUUUUGUUGGCCGUUUGUUCUGGCCUCGGCGGCAGCAGGACAAGGUCCCCCAACACAUUACUGGGAGCUAAUGUUGCUCUUCCUGAUUAAAUUUGAAGACUUGGUUCUCCUUCAUCUCCUCCCCGAAGAUGUCAACAAGAUGUCUGGCCGACUCCCCUGGUAGUGCGGUGUCCUCGGCCGGAGUAGGGCGACCUUGCCAACAACCUUCAGCUCCCUCCCUUCCCUUCUUUGAUUUUCCUAUGGAAUUCAUAAUUUAUGCUCAGUUGGUGCCGUCUUCUUAUUGUUAUCUGUUUUGUUUCGUUGUCGACACAGAUGCAAAAGGAGAGGUACAAUUUGGACUCAAUGAUGCAUUGUUUACUAAAAGGAAAUCUCUAAAUUAUUAUUAGUGGUUAUUUUUGAUGAUAAGUCAUUUUCUGUGUGAAAAAACUUUGUUCAUACGUCGCCUUGUUUCACAGCUUUUCUAAAUUUGUUAGCAUAAAUAGUUUCAGGUAUCAUGGCUCCUAGAGGAAAAAUUAUUAAUAGUAUACACGCAUUUUUUUCUCUUUCGGUAAUCAUUUGUUGUUUUAUAAGUGUGACAUAAUGCUUAUUUCUACCUCUAGCAGGAUCAUGUAAUUACUGUCAGGAAUGCUACCAAUUCGCUGAUUGCAAAAGGUACAAAUGAAAGGCCCUUUUGUUUUAAUGCUAUUGAUGCAUCACAAGUUGGUGAAACUGAUUUGUCUAGGUGGAUGCAUAAUUAGUUUUGUGCUCAUCUGUGCACAAGCGGCCAAGCGCAGCUAUAACAUGGUGAAUGAACACUACUGGUAGAGAAGAUAGGAACGAAGAAAUGAUGGAGACAGCACAUUUAUUUUGGAUAAUAUUGGAAUGGAGAUCAUCAAGUGACUUGGAAGUACUCAGGCUGAAAAUAUGACAGGUAACACUUCUAUAUUCCAGAUUUCUCCAUAAGAAUCUGUUCGUUGUGGGGAAUUGCAGC